UACGAGGGGGGCGAGCGUUGUUCGGAAUUAUUGGGCGUAAAGGGCGCGUAGGCGGUGCGGCAAGUCAGGUGUGAAACCUCCAGGCUCAACUUGGAGCUUGCAUCUGAAACUGCCGUGCUAGAGUGCGGGAGAGGAGAGUGGAAUUCCUGGUGUAGCGGUGAAAUGCGUAGAUAUCAGGAGGAACACCGGUGGCGAAGGCGGCUCUCUGGACCGCAACUGACGCUGAGGCGCGAAAGCUAGGGGAGCAAACAGG
rnacentral:rRNA from 1 species